rnacentral:lncRNA from 1 species
AACAAUUCAAGAAAACAAACAACGAUGGAUACUCAUCAACGUCCUCUCUUCCUCAUCACCACCUUCCUCCUCCUCCUCCUCCACCACCCCACCUCCACCCAUUCCCUCAUUGACCCCACCACCUACUCCACCCCGGCCGCCGCUCCCACCACCAUCUCGGCUGCCACUCCGCCUGCCACCACCACCACCACUUACCCCACCAAUAAAGACACCGAAUUCAUCCGUUCAAGCUGUGCAUCCACCCGGUACCCCGACGAAUGCUACAACUCCCUCUCGGGCUACGCCAGCGCCGUACAACAAAACCCUGCUCGGCUAGCGCGUGUAGCCAUAGCCGUGAGCCUCUCCAGAGCCAGACUGGAAGCCACUUACUUCUCGAACAUAUCGAAAGAAGCAGACUACGGGGCCGACCAUCGAGUCUCA